rnacentral:rRNA from 1 species
UGAACGCUGGCGGCAUGCUUUACACAUGCAAGUCGAACGGCAGCGCGGGCUUCGGCCUGGCGGCGAGUGGCGAACGGGUGAGUAAUGCAUCGGAACGUGCCCAGUAGUGGGGGAUAGCCCGGCGAAAGCCGGAUUAAUACCGCAUACGACCUGAGGGUGAAAGCGGGGGACCGAAAGGCCUCGCGCUAUUGGAGCGGCCGAUGUCGGAUUAGCUAGUUGGUGGGGUAAAGGCUUACCAAGGCGACGAUCCGUAGCUGGUCUGAGAGGACGACCAGCCACACUGGGACUGAGACACGGCCCAGACUCCUACGGGAGGCAGCAGUGGGGAAUUUUGGACAAUGGGGGCAACCCUGAUCCAGCCAUGCCGCGUGCGGGAAGAAGGCCUUCGGGUUGUAAACCGCUUUUGUUCGGGAAGAAAUCCUCUGGGCUAAUACCCCGGGGGGAUGACGGUACCGGAAGAAUAAGCACCGGCUAACUACGCG